GUUGAACGCUGGCGGCAUGCUUUACACAUGCAAGUCGAACGGUAACAGGCCUUCGGGUGCUGACGAGUGGCGAACGGGUGAGUAAUGCAUCGGAACGUACCCAGAGGUGGGGGAUAACGCAGCGAAAGCUGUGCUAAUACUGCAUGUGAUCUGAGGAUGAAAGCGGGGGACCGAGCAGCAAUGUUUGGCCUCGCGCCUUUGGAGCGGCCGAUGUCGGAUUAGCUAGUUGGUGGGGUAAAGGCCUACCAAGGCGACGAUCCGUAGCUGGUCUGAGAGGACGACCAGCCACACUGGGACUGAGACACGGCCCAGACUCCUACGGGAGGCAGCAGUGGGGAAUUUUGGACAAUGGGCGCAAGCCUGAUCCAGCAAUGCCGCGUGCGGGAAGAAGGCCUUCGGGUUGUAAACCGCUUUUGGCAGGAACGAAACGGUGUCCGCUAAUACCGGGCGCUAAUGACGGUACCUGCAGAAUAAGCACCGGCUAACUACGUG
rnacentral:rRNA from 1 species